rnacentral:rRNA from 1 species
UACGGGGGGGGCAAGCGUUGUUCGGAAUUACUGGGCGUAAAGGGCUCGUAGGCGGCCAACUAAGUCAGACGUGAAAUCCCUCGGCUUAACCGGGGAACUGCGUCUGAUACUGGUUGGCUUGAGUUUGGGAGAGGGAUGCGGAAUUCCAGGUGUAGCGGUGAAAUGCGUAGAUAUCUGGAGGAACACCGGUGGCGAAGGCGGCGUCCUGGACCAACACUGACGCUGAGGAGCGAAAGCCAGGGGAGCAAACGGG